GGUGAUGAAAGUGGGGUAGUGAUGAAAGUUGUGGUGGUGAUGAAAGUUGUGGUGGUGAUGAAAGAAGUGGUGGUGAUGAAUGUGGGGUAGUGAUGAAAGUUGUGGUGGUGAUGAAAGUUGUGGUGGUGAUGAAAGAAGUGGUGGUGAUGAAUGUGGGGUAGUGAUGAAAGUUGUGGUGGUGAUGAAAGAAGUGGUGGUGAUGAAUGUGGGGUAGUGAUGAAAGUUGUGGUAGUGAUGAUAGAAGUGGUGGUGAUGAAUGUGGGGUAGUGAUGAAAGUUGUGGUGGUGAUGAAAGAAGUGGUGGUGAUGAAUGUGGGGUAGUGAUGAAAGUUGUGGUGGUGAUGAAAGAAGUGGUGGUGAUGAAUGUGGGGUAGUGAUGAAAGUUGUGUGAUGAAAGAAGUGGUGGUGAUGA